UGGACAAAUGAUGUUGUAUGUCUUUGAGAAUAACUGUUGCUGUAGCUUGCUCCUUUGAUGUAAAAAUCCCCAACAACCACAGUAAAACUUUGGUUCAUUAUAAAUAAAGCACAAGUCACGAUUUGAAUGGGUCACCCAAGGGAGGAAGCAUGGGACAGAAUUAUAAUUGGAAGGAUGCACACAGGGAAAAAAAAAUAGAAUAAUUGCAAUAAAACAUUUUUAAAAUCUGAAAACCAGGACCUCAAAUGGAUUGGGUGAAAGAAGUAAGAAUUCAGUUCUUUGGGACGCCUGGUUCUUUCCCCUCAUCCUGCUGUCCAUUGGAGGCCAAGUAGGCAACAUUCCUGCCUGAUUUUUUUUUCCUGCCUCUGUAGAGUUUAUUCCUCAGUCCUUAUUAAACAUAGAUUUUGCCUUCUAUUUUCUUCAAAAUUAGAGUGAAUUUUCAAGGAAAAAUUAAGCUUAAAGACAAAACCUACAGAAUGAAAUAUUUUCGUGAAAAAACCUCUAAUCUGCAUACGAAUUCAGCAAUUUUCACAA